UACAGAGGGUGCGAGCGUUAAUCGGAAUUACUGGGCGUAAAGGGCGCGUAGGCGGUUGUAUAUGUGUGAUGUGAAAGCCCCGGGCUUAACCUGGGAAGUGCAUCGCGAACUGUAUAACUGGAGUAUAUGAGAGGGUGGCGGAAUUUCCGGUGUAGCGGUGAAAUGCGUAGAGAUCGGAAGGAACGUCAAUGGCGAAGGCAGCCACCUGGCAUAAUACUGACGCUGAGGCGCGAAAGCGUGGGGAGCGAACAGG
rnacentral:rRNA from 1 species